AUUGAACGCUGGCGGCAUGCCUUACACAUGCAAGUCGAACGGCAGCACGGGGCAACCUGGUGGCGAGUGGCGAACGGGUGAGUAAUGCAUCGGAACGUGCCAUUGAGUGGGGGAUAACGUAGCGAAAGUUGCGCUAAUACCGCAUAUUCUGUGAGCAGGAAAGCAGGGGGACCGCAAGGCCUUGCGCUCUUUGAGCGGCCGAUGUCAGAUUAGCUAGUUGGUGAGGUAACGGCUUACCAAGGCGACGAUCUGUAGCGGGUCUGAGAGGAUGAUCCGCCACACUGGAACUGAGACACGGUCCAGACUCCUACGGGAGGCAGCAGUGGGGAAUUUGGACAAUGGGCGCAAGCCUGAUCCAGCCAUGCCGCGUGUCUGAAGAAGGCC
rnacentral:rRNA from 1 species